rnacentral:rRNA from 1 species
GAUCAUGGCUCAGGAUGAACGCUAGCUACAGGCUUAACACAUGCAAGUCGAGGGGCAGCAUGGUCUUAGCUUGCUAAGGCCGAUGGCGACCGGCGCACGGGUGAGUAACACGUAUCCAACCUGCCGUCUACUCUUGGACAGCCUUCUGAAAGGAAGAUUAAUACAAGAUGGCAUCAUGAGUUCACAUGUUCACAUGAUUAAAGGUAUUCCGGUAGACGAAGGGAGUG